GUGACUUUGAAGCAAUGUAAUUGUUUUGUUCAACGUACAUCUCCGCAAGAAGAAUGCACCAAUGGCUCAUCAGUUCAUCGGAGUCAACAGUUUCAUAUCUACUUACAUUUGAUUUGAGGUGUUCGAUACACUGUACUUGCCGUACCCAUGCAAUCCGAUGAGCGCUACAUUGUCACCUAGAAAAUUGGUUAUGUACUAAUUUCAUUAUCCCGGUAGUACUUUAUAAAGUAGUACUUGCUUGCGUGUGCGCGGCUAUGCAGGUCGUAAGUCCUGCUUCAAUAUGGCGACUUGUAUUUUAUUGACUUGUAAAAUCUAUACAUGUACUCUAUUGUUAAUAAAGAAAUAGAAAGAUA